rnacentral:rRNA from 1 species
UACAGAGGUCUCAAGCGUUGUUCGGAUUCAUUGGGCGUAAAGGGCGCGUAGGCGGGCAUUCAAGUCUAUGGUGAAAUCCGGCAGCUCAACUGUCGAAUUGCCGUGGAUACUGGGUGUCUCGAGGGAGGUAGGGGCAUGCGGAACUAACGGUGGAGCGGUGAAAUGCGUUGAUAUCGUUAGGAACUCCGGUGGCGAAGGCGGCAUGCUGGACCUCUUCUGACGCUGAGGCGCGAAAGCCAGGGGAGCAAACGGG